UCGAGAAUCUUCCGCAAUGGACGAAAGUCUGACGGAGCGACGCCGCGUGCGGGAUGAAGGCCCUUGGGUUGUAAACCGCUGUCAGAGGGGAUGAAAUCUUCGGAGGUACUCCUCCGAAGUUGACAGAGCCUCAAAGGAAGCACGGGCUAAGUACGUGCCAGCAGCCGCGGUAACACGUACUGUGCGAACGUUAUUCGGAAUCACUGGGCUUAAAGGGUGCGUAGGCGGCGAUUCAAGUCAGAUGUGAAAUGCCUGAGCUCAACUGAGGCAUUGCGUUUGAAACUGAAUUGCUAGAGUAUUUCAGGGGUGUGCGGAACUGCCAGUGGAACGGUGAAAUGUGUUGAUAUUGGCAGGAACACCGGAGGCGAAAGCGGCACACUGGGGAAUAACUGACGCUGAGGCACGAAAGCCAAGGGAGCGAACGGG
rnacentral:rRNA from 1 species